GUGAGUAGGGCAGCCAGAUCUGGGGUACCCCUAAGGUGUUAGGGACCCCCAGGGCUGUUCCAGGAGUCGAGGGCCAAGUUUCCCUGUUUAUGCCCCCGAGGAUGCUGGCUGGGACAGUGCACAACCGGAGCUCCAGUGCUUGGCUGCCCCUCCACCUGGUGCCUGGACCUCCCCCACUGCCCUCCCUCCAACCAUCUGCGGUCUGAUGAAAGCUGCCAGUCCCCGCCCUGGGAAAACACAGAGGAAAAAAAUGUCUGCAGAUUACGGGUCCCUUAUCUGGGAUGCUGGAACCAGGUUUUUGGGGAUUUUUUUCCAAUUUCAAAAUAUUCGUGCACAGUAGGAGAUGAGGUGGGGCGAAUCCAGGCCAGAACAGGAAUUCAUCUGCUUCCUGUGUGCCUUGUGCAUAUAGCCUGAAAGGAGUUUUUGUUUUAUUUCUUUGGGUUCUGGGAUCAAACCAGGGCCUCAUCCACCCGGGGCCCUUUUGAGAGAAGUUGUAUAGGCUGGCCUCGAAUUUGAGAUCCUCCUGCCUCAGCCUCCAGAGUGGCCAGGGUAGAGGUGUGUGCUGCUGCGCCUGGCAUGAGACCUUCCCAACCCUCUCCUGGGAGGCCCUGCCGUCGUCCUUGAGUGCGGAGUGAUGCGAUGUCUCUGGCGGCCCAGCCUAUGCAGAACCAGCCCAGCUGAUGUAAGGCGCAAGGCAGAGAGGCCGACGGCUCUGGAGCGGGAUGCGCCCGUCAGAGCAGAGCCAGGUGAGGUGAGACACACCUGUCAACCCAGAACUCAGGAGGCCAAGGCAGGAGGAUCUCGGAGAGUUCAAGGCCAGACCCUG